AUCAAGCUACUCAACUAAAGCAUAUAGUGGAUGCCUAGGCAUGUUGUGCCGAAGAAGGACGUAUAAGGCCGCGAAAGUCGUCGGUUAGGAGCCAUAAUCCUGUGACCCGGCGGUGUCCGAAUGGGGUAACCCCGCUGUCAGUAAUGACAGUGUACCCUGAAUUUAUUCAGGAGUAGGUAACCCGGAGAACUGAAACAUCUAAGUACCCGGAGGAAAAGAAAUCGAACGAGAUUCCCUUAGUAAGCGGUGAGCGAAAAGGGAAUAGCCUAAACCGUAAUUUAUUACGGUGUUGCAGGGCUAUACACAACGUCUAGUUAAGGAUAGAAGAACACCGUGGAAUAGGUGACCAUAGAGCGUGACAGUCGCGUAAUCGAAAUCCUGGACUAGGUAGUAUAGUACCUAAGUACGUUGGGAGACGGCAAACUCCCUGCGGAAUCCGCCCCGACCACGGGGCAAGGCUAAAUACACAGCAUGACCGAUAGUGAACUAGUACCGUGAGGGAAAGGUGAAAAGAUGGGUGAGACACCCAGUGAAAUAGUACCUGAAACUGUAUGCUAACAAACAGACAGAGUCUGGAUUUAUCCGGAUGAUGUCGUGCCUAUUGAAGAAUGACCCGUCGAGUUUGCAUGUACUGCAAGUCUAAGCGAUAUCGUCGCGGAGGCGUAGUGAAAGCGAGGAUGAAUAGUCCGAUUAGCAGUGCGUCCAAGACCCGAAACCGGAGUGAGCUAACCAUGAGCAGGGUGAACCCCACGUAAAAGUGGGGGGAGGCCCGAACCAGUGAAUGCUGCAAAAUUCUUGGAGGACUUGUGGUUAGAGGUAAUAUGCCAAUCGAACCCGGAGAUAGCUGGUUCUCCCCGAAAUAUAUUUAGGUAUAGCCUCAAGUGAUUGCAUGAUGGGGGUAGAGCACUGAAAAGGUGCGACGUCGCAAGGCGUUUCACUUUAUCAAACUCCGAAUACCAACAUGUUCAGCUUGGGAGUCAGUCCCUGGGAGCUAAGUUCCAGGGGCAAAAGGGAAACAACCCACGAUCGUCAAUUAAGGUCUCAAAAUCAUAACUAAGUGGCUCAAGGAAGUCAUAAUCCAUAUACAGCUAGGAGGUCGGCUCAGAAGCAGCCAUCCUUGAAAGAAAGCGUAACAGCUCACUAGUCUCGGAUUGUGGCGCCGAAGACCCAUCGAGGCUCAAGUUAUGUACCGAAAUUACGGAUUUGUAAGCGAUUUAUCGUUUAUAAGUGGUAGGGGAGCGUUCUGACAACUGUGAAGUCGUCCUGUAAGGGGCGGUGGAGUGGUCAGAAGUGAGAAUGGCGGGAUGAGUAGCGAGAAUAAGGUGAGAAUCCUUAUCACCGUAUGUUCCAGGUUUCCAACGCAACGUUCGUCGGCGUUGGGUUAGGCGGCCCUAAGGCGAGGCUGGUGUAAUGCCGGCGUAGUCGAUGGAUAACAGGUUGAUAUUCCUGUCCUUUUGGGCGUUCGUUAUCAACUGGGGAGUGACGGUUUAGGAAGGGCAAGGCGCAUUAUCGAAUUUGCGUCCAAGCGUUAAGGGAGUUGACUCUAGGAAAAUCCGGAGUUGGCAUUACGAUCCGAGGCGUGAUGGAAAAUGUUGGCUACGUGUCAGCAUGAUCUUGUAUCCUUUCUGAAUCCAAGAAAAUCUUCGCAGUGAGAAUGUUCAAAAUCCGUACCGCAAACCGACACAGGUGAACUGGUAGAGUAUACCAAGGUGAGCGAGAGAACCUUCCUUAAGGAACUCGGCAAAUUAGCUAGGCGUAACUUAGGGAGAUGCCUAACCUGUUUUUUGGUACUUGUAUCAAAAAAUGGGUCGCAGAUAAAGAUUAUGAGGUGACUGUUUAACAAAAACACAGGUCUGUGCGAAGGCGUAAGCCUACGUAUACGGGCUGAGGCCUGCCCAGUGCCAGAAGGUUAACUGAGAGAGUGACCCCGACUUGUUCGGGAUAGCUUUUGAUUGAAGCCCUGGUGAACGGCAGCAGUAACUAUAACUGUUCUAUGGUAGCGAAAUUCCUUGUCGGGUAAGUUCCGACCUGCACGAAAGGCGUAACAAUCUCAUAACUGUCUUGAGGGAGGGCUCGGCGAAAUUGAAAUGGCUGUGAAGAUGCGGCCUACUGGUAACAGGACAAAAAGACCCCGUGGAGCUUUACUGUACCUUGGCACUGAAAUUUAUGUUUUGACUGUGUAGCGUAGGUGGGAGCCGCAAGGCGAUCAUGUAACACCACUCUUUGAAACGUGAGUUUCUCACUUAUCUCUCUGGAUCGAGGGAGAGGACACUGUCUGGGAGGCAGUUUAACUGGGGAGGUUGCUUGCUAAAGAGUACCGCAAGCGCUCAAAGGUAUCCUAAUUCCGGAUGGAAAUCGGAAUGAUAGUGCAAGGGCAUAAGGAUGCCUGACUGUGAGACACACAAGUCAAGCAGAGACGAAAGUCGGACCUAGUGAUCCUCGUGUACUUCGUGGGAGGUACCGGGCUUAUCGGAUAAAAGCUACCCCGGGGAUAACAGAGUAGUUGCACCUGAGCGUCCACAGCGACGGUGCAGUUCGCUACCUCAACAUAUCGGGGUCCUCAGAUUGUAAAAUCUGAGUGCUGUUUAGAUAUGUAAUAAUCUAAGAAAACUAACUCAUAACGGUGAAACCUUAAUCAUGAACCUAUUUAGCUUUGCGAACAAAUAAAAGUUAAAUAUUGAAAAGGUAAUACCGUGGGAAGUCGGUCACAUUAUUGUGGCUUGACCCCGUAUCGACUGGAUCUCUCGAUUAAUCGAGAGUGAAGAUAGGGAUAUUUAUCUCUAUAAAACGUUAGCACCCCGCUUAAAAUCGGGAUGAAGGUAUAGUCAAAAUUAAUUGGAAACAAUUAAAUCAUCAAUUGAGCGAUGUCGGCUCAGCGCAUCCUGGGGCUGGAGAAGGUCCCAAGGGUUGGUCUGUUCGCCCAUUAAAGCGCUACGUGAGCUGGGUUCAGACCGUCGUGAGACAGGUCGGUCUCUAUCCGUUAUCAGCGUUGGAAUUUUGAGGGGGGUUGCUCUUAGUACGAGAGGACCGGAGUGAGCCAACCGCUAGUGUUUCUGUUGUAGUCGUCAGACGCAUCGCAGAGUAGCUACGUUGGUAAGUGAUAACCGCUGAAAGCAUCUAAGCGGGAAACACGCCCCAAGAUGAGAAUUCCUUGUCUAUAGCAAUAUAGACGACAGAUCCCUGGAAGACCACCAGGUAAUCGGCAGGAGGUGUACGCACUGCAAAGUGUUUAGCUGACCUGU
rnacentral:rRNA from 1 species